UUGAGACAGUAAUGAACGGUGCGCAUUCAGUCAGUGUGAGGUAGUGCUCGAUUAAUUGGGUUGUAGCAACAGCAUCAGCAACGGGAACUAAUACUAAAACGCAUCGCUUAAAGUUAUUGUUUAACGGUAUAUGUUAAUUGGUGGUGGAAGUAAAGCAGUUAUCAGCUGAGUUGGUGUUGGUCGUUUGAGCAGUCUGGAGUUUGCGUUUUCUGUUGAUGGCAGCAGUCGUCGCAUGUCAGCAUUCCAUUCGCAUAUCAACAUUCCAUGAUUAAUUAAACGGAAAAUAUGAUUUGCGCUGCGUUUGCGGAUGAUUUCUGCUACUGUAUCGGUAUUGAGGUCGCGAUGGAUAUCUUCUUUCGUACCAAGGAGUGUUGGUUAUUGUUCUGGGUCCCAGAUUUUAAGCCGCAUGCCCAGAUUGACACGAUCACAGUUUUGUAUAUAAGUAUUUUAUUCAGCAAUGACAGUUUCGAGUAGUAGCCAAGUAGCCAAUAUAUUAUAGUUGUCGGAAUCUGUUUCUACCUCAAUUCUUUUCAAGAUGAUAGUCAUUCCAACGUAUCUGUCUUUGGAGGCUAUCGGGAUUUGUGAAUUGUUUAUUCUGAGAUUCUUAUGUCAAACUUUCUUGUUGAUUUAUGCCCCAAGCAUUAAACCAGUCUAAAGUUUUGUCCAAAAUCUGCUGUAAUUUGUUUGUUGCUGCUACUAAGGGCUUAUGGGUUGCCCAUAGAACGGUAUCAUCUGCGAAAGUUGCUAUAAUGCUGAAAUCUGCAGGCAUGGGAAUAUCAUCUGUGUACAAUACACAUAGUACAUAGCCCUAGGAUACUGACUUGAGAUACCCCGGCUUUCAUAAAUUAAAUAUUAGAGUAUUUGUCUGCAUAUUUUACAUAUGUUCGUUAAAUAUCUUUUCAUUAUCAGAUAGUAGUCCAGUCGAACGCACUGUUUAAUAUUAAUUAUUGUAUUUGUUACUCAUGUACCUGUUAAAGUGUUGAAUGUUUUCGACGAAGCCUUAAUUGGUAGGAAGGAAUUAA